GCCUACGGGGCGCAGCAGUAGGGAAUCUUCCACAAUGGGCGAAAGCCUGAUGGAGCAACGCCGCGUGGGUGAAGAAGGUCUUCGGAUCGUAAAACCCUGUUGUUAGAGAAGAAAGUGCGUGAGAGUAACUGUUCACGUUUCGACGGUAUCUAACCAGAAAGCCACGGCUAACUACGUGCCAGCAGCCGCGGUAAUACGUAGGUGGCAAGCGUUAUCCGGAUUUAUUGGGCGUAAAGGGAACGCAGGCGGUCUUUUAAGUCUGAUGUGAAAGUUUGCGGCUCAACCGUAAAAUUGCAGUUGAAACU
rnacentral:rRNA from 1 species